GAUGAACGCUGACAGAAUGCUUAACACAUGCAAGUCAACUUGAACUUCGGUUUGGGUGGCGGACGGGUGAGUCACGCGUAAAGAACUUGCCUCACAGAUAGGGACAACAUUUGGAAACGAAUGCUAAUACCUGAUAUUAUGAUUAUAUGGCAUCGUAUAAUUAUGAAAGCUAUAUGCGCUGUGAGAGAGCUUUGCGUCCCAUUAGCUAGUUGGAGAGGUAACGGCUCACCAAGGCGAUGAUGGGUAGCCGGCCUGAGAGGGUGAUCGGCCACAAGGGGACUGAGACACGGCCCUUACUCCUACGGGAGGCAACAGUGGGGAAUAUUGGACAAUGGACCAAGAGUCUGAUCCAGCAAUUCUGUGCGCACGAUGAAGUUUUUCGGAAUGUAAAGUGCUUUCAGUUGGGAAGAAAAAAAUGACGGUACCAACAGAAGAAGUGACGGCUAAAUACGUG
rnacentral:rRNA from 1 species